rnacentral:rRNA from 1 species
GACGAACCGUGCAAACGUUGUUCGGAAUCACUGGGCUUAAAGGGCGCGUAGGCGGGCGGGCAAGUCGGAGGUGAAAGCCCACAGCUCAACUGUGGAAGUGCCUUCGAUACUGCCGGUCUAGAGGGAGGUAGGGGCGUGCGGAACUUCCGGUGGAGCGGUGAAAUGCGUUGAUAUCGUGAGGAACACCGGUGGCGAAAGCGGCUCUCUGGGGCUCUUCUGACGCUGAGGCACGAAAGCUAGGGGAGCAAACGGGAGUUAGAAACCCU